rnacentral:rRNA from 1 species
GAUGAACGCUGGCGGCGUGCCUAAUACAUGCAAGUCGAGCGAACAGACGAGGAGCUUGCUCCUCUGACGUUAGCGGCGGACGGGUGAGUAACACGUGGAUAACCUACCUAUAAGACUGGGAUAACUUCGGGAAACCGGAGCUAAUACCGGAUAAUAUAUUGAACCGCAUGGUUCAAUAGUGAAAGACGGUUUUGCUGUCACUUAUAGAUGGAUCCGCGCCGCAUUAGCUAGUUGGUAAGGUAACGGCUUACCAAGGCAACGAUGCGUAGCCGACCUGAGAGGGUGAUCGGCCACACUGGAACUGAGACACGGUCCAAACUCCUACGGGAGGCAGCAGUAAGGAAUCUUCCGCAAUGGGCGAAAGCCUGACGGAGCAACGCCGCGUGAGUGAUGAAGGUCUUCGGAUCGUAAAACUCUGUUAUUAGGGAAGAACAAAUGUGUAAGUAACUAUGCACGUCUUGACGGUACCUAAUCAGAAAGCCACGGCUAACUACGUG